rnacentral:rRNA from 1 species
UUUUCUACUGGUGUACAGAUCGCCUUAGAGUUUGAUCCUGGCUCAGAAUCAACGCUGGCGGCGUGCCUAACACAUGCAAGUCGAACGAGAAAGCUGGGGCAACCCGGCCGGUACAGUGGCAGACGGGUGAGUAACACGUGAACAAUCUACCCUCGAGUGGGGAAUAACGCCGCGAAAGCGGCGCUAAUACCGCAUAACGUUCCGGGAUCGCAUGGUUCUGGAACCAAAGGCGAAAGUCGCUUGAGGAGGAGUUCGCGCCUGAUUAGCUAGUUGGUGAGGUAACGGCCCACCAAGGCAACGAUCAGUAGCCGGCCUGAGAGGGCGUACGGCCACACUGGAACUGGGACACGGUCCAGACUCCUACGGGAGGCAGCAGUGGGGAAUUUUGCGCAAUGGGCGAAAGCCUGACGCAGCAACGCCGCGUGGAGGAUGAAGGCUUUCGGGUCGUAAACUCCUGUCAGGGGGGACGAAACCGGGCAACCGGCUGACUGUACCCCCGGAGGAAGCCACGGCUAACUCCGUGCCAGCAGCCGCGGUAAUACGGAGGUGGCAAGCGUUGUUCGGAAUUACUGGGCGUAAAGGGCGCGUAGGCGGCUCGGCAAGUCAGGUGUGAAAGCCCCGGGCUUAACUCGGGAAUUGCAUCUGAAACUGCUUUGCUUGAGUCCUGGAGGGGGUAGUGGAAUUCCCAGUGUAGCGGUGAAAUGCGUAGAUAUCGGAAGGAACACCUGUGGCGAAAGCGGCUCACUGGACCACAACUGACGCUGAUGCACGAAAGCUAGGGGAGCAAACAGGAUUAGAUACCCUGGUAGUCUAGCCCUAAACGAUGACUGCUGGUGUGACGGGUACCAUCCCGCGUGACGUAGCUAACGCGUAGCAGUCGCUGGGAGUACGUCGCUAGCUGAACUCGACGGAUGGACGGGUCCGCCAGCGGUGGAGCAUGUGGUUAUUCGACCCCACGCGAAGA